rnacentral:tRNA from 1 species
GGCUGCGUGGGCUAAUAGCAAACUGGCAUAGCACAGAUACUUAGAAUGUCUGACCUUUGAGAGUUCGAAUCUCUCCGCAGCUACCA